rnacentral:rRNA from 1 species
GUUUCUAAGUAAGGGCGUAUGGUGGAUGCCUUGGCAUGAAAUAGCGAUGAAGGACGCAGCGUAACGGCGAUACGUUUCGGGGAGGUGUGUAGCAACCUUUGAUCCGGAAAUUUCCGAAUGGGGUAACCCGAUCUCGCAAACCGAGAUCAACUUAGUCCGUAAGUGAUUAAGUAGUGCACCCGCUGAAGUGAAACAUCUCAGUAAGCGGAGGAAAAGAGAACGAAGUUAUUUCUUGAGUAGCGGCGAGCGAAAGAGAAGAAGCCUAAACCAGAAUUUGUUUUACGCAAGUAAAAUAGGUUUUGGGGUUGCAAGAUAUGAACAUUUUUCACUAAUCACAGCCGAGAUUUUCUCGUUUGUGAUUAGUGAAGAGAGAGUUACAAAUUUAUUUGUUAGCCGAAGAGUCUGGAAAGUCUCUCCAUAGUAGGUGAUAGGCCUGUAAGCGAAAGCGAAUAAACUCUUUGUUUGUAAUCUUAAGUACCUCGACACAAGAGAGUGUGGAGGGAAUCAUCCCAUACUAUUGGGAAAGGCUAAAUAUAUUUCAUGACCGAUAGUGAACAAGUACCGUGAGGGAAAGGUGAAAAGCAGUCCGGUUAGGACAGUGAAAUAGACCUGAAACCAUAUGUCUACAAGGAACGGAAGUCCGCAAGGACAACCGUGUGCCUAUUGAAGAAUGAACCAACGAGUUCAUGUGUAUUGCAAGUCUAACCAAAAUUUUUUGGCGAGGCGUAGCGAAAGCUAGUGUUAAUAGCGCGAUUUAGCAGUUCAUAUGAGACCCGAAACCAAGCGAGCUUGCCCUGGCCAGGAUGAGUUCCCCGUAAUUGGGGAAGGAGGUCCGAACCGGUCGGUUGUUCAACACCGUCGGAUGAGCUGGGGUAAGAAGUGAAAAGCUAAUCGAGCUUGGUAAUAGCUGGUUCUCUCCGAAACAGUUCUAGGACUGGCGUCAAAUGUUCCCUUCUGGGGGUAGAGCACUGGAUGGUCUGUAAUGGGCGCAAGCUCGGCAGACCAAUCAAACUCCGAAUACCGGAAGGUCAAGAAUUUGGCAGUUAGACUACGGGGGCUAAGCUUCGUGGUCGAGAGAAGAAGAGUUCAGAUCGCAAUCUAAGGUCCCAAAGUUUUUGUUAAGUGUGUAAGGUAGUCGUGCACCUAUGACAGAUAGUAGGUUGGCUUAGAGGUAGCCAUCCUUUAAAGAGUGUGUAACAACUCACUAUUCGAUGGUGGACGGCGCCGAAAAUGUACCGGGGCUAAACAAAGCACCGAAGAUGCGAAUUUAUUCUGCCUCCGGGCAGGAUAAGUGGUAGGAGAGCAUUCCUAACGCAGUGAAGAUUGACCCGUGAGGGCGAUUGGAGGGUUAGGAAGAGAGAAUGUUGGUAUGAGUAACCGCAAGGUCGGAAAGAAACCGGCCCCCCGAAAAUUCAAGGUUUCCGUGGCAAUGGCAAUCAUCCACGGGUUAGGCGGCCCUAAGGCAAUGGCAUUGUCCGCAGCCGAAGGACAGCUGGUUAAUACUCCAGCCCGCCAAUUCAAUUCGACGGAGGGACGAGGUAAAUAAGGAAGGGUGUAUUAAUGGUUUUACAUCGCUAGCUUUAAGCGUGGCUAUAUAGGCAAAUCCGUAUAGCUGUCUUUAAUGACGUCAUGCAAAAGCCUGCGGAAGGUCAAGUUUUCUUGAUCAACCCAUCUGAAGAGACCUCCUAGAAAAACUUCUAAGAUUAGUUGAAUUGGCUCCGUACCGGAAACCGACACAGGUGGAUAGGGCGAGAAGCCCAAGGGGAACGAGUGAUUUCUCAUUAAGGAACUCGGCAAAAAAGCGAUCGUAAGUUAGCGAUAAGAUCUGCCUCGAGCAAUCGAGGCCGCAGCGAAAGUAUCUCUGGCGACUGUUUACCAAAAACACAGCUCCCUGCGAACUCGUAAGAGUAUGUAUAGGGGGUGACGCCUGACCGAUGCGAGAAGGUUAAAACUGGGGGUGAACUUGGAGCAAUCCGGGUUGGCUCGCUGGUUGAAGCCCUCGUCAAUGUCAGCGGUAACUAUAACCGUUCUAAGGUAGCGCAAUUCCUUUUCGGGUAAGUUCCGAAGCGCACGAAUGGCGUAACGACCGGAGAACUGUCUCAAUGAGAAGCUCGGUGAAAAUGCGAUUCCAGUGAAGACGCUGGGUACCUGCAGCGGGACGAAAAGACCCCGGGAGCUUUACUGUAGCUUGGUAUUGUCUUUAGAAUUUAGAUACGUAGUGUAGUGGUUAGGAAUUGAAGUCCGCCUUUCGGGGCGGAUGGAUCCGACAAUGAAACAGCCAUUUUCUAAAUUUUAAAGUCUAACCUUGAGGGCAAAAACCUUAGGGGACAGUGCCUGGUGGGCAGUUUUUCUGGGGCAGAAUCCUCCCAAAGAGUAAUGGAGGAGUUUAUUAAGGUCAGCUAAGGUCGGAUGGAAAUCGACCUAGUCGUAUAAAGGCAUAAGCUGGCUUGACUGCAAGACUUACAAGUCGCGCAGGUGCGAAAGCAGAACUUAGCGACCCGACGGCUCCUAAUAGAAAGGCCGGAGACACCGGAUAAAAGCUACCCCGGGGAUAACAGGCUGGUCUUGUCCGAGAGUCCCUAUCGACGACAAGGCUCGGCACCUCGAUGUCGGCUCGCCCUAGCGCGGGGCUGAAGAAGGUCCCAAGCGUGUGGCUGUUCGCCACUUAAAAGGGCACGCGAGCUGGGUUCAAACCGUCGUGAGACAGGUUGGUCUCUAUCUGUUGCAGGCGUUAACACUUGAGGGAAGUCGACCCUAGUACGAGAGGACCGGGUUGAACGAACCUCUGGUCUAUCGGCUUUGCUACCAAGCGAAUGCCGAGUAGCUAUGUUCGGAAAGGAUAAGCGCUGAAAGCAUCUAAGCGCGAAGCCUCUCCCAAGAUUAGGUGUGUCUUUUUCUCGCAAGAGAAAAAGAGUGAUCCCUGGAAGAUUACCAGGUUGAUAGGCUUCAGAUGUAAGCAUAGUAAUGUGUUUAGUCGAGAAGUACUAAUAGAUCAAAAGAAACCGACCA